CCACAACAUCAGAAGCUUAAGUGAUUUGCCCUUCUUUCAACGAACCAAUGAGUUGGGGUUCUGUUCGAUUCACGAUUGCAGAGGGAUAGAAUCUGUGCUUGAUCUGUCGUCACAAUCCCAAUCAUGCACCCCAUUUGAGAACCUUGAGCUCUUGAGGCUUGAAAAUUUGGAUAACCUUAAUGUGCUUGUUAAAGUAGCAGAAGCAUAUGUUGUUUCUACUUUGAGUUCACAGUCUAUUCCGGCCAUCUUUUCCCAUCUUAAAUCAUUUCAUAUUGAAGGAUGCUCAAACAUGAAGCAGCUCUUUCCCUUUGACUUGGUACAUGACCUCCAAAACCUAGAGAACCUCAUAGUUCGUGGUUGUGGACAAAUAGAGGAAAUAAUAGGACCAAAAGAAGAGGCUGAGGAUCACAAGGGAAAUGGAACGCAAGCUCCAACAAAGUUCAGCCUUUCCAAAUUAAAGGAGUUAGAAUUGACGUGCUUACCAGAGCUGAAGAGCAUAUGCAGUUCAAAUAGGGAAAUGGUAUGCAACUCUCUUAGGAAAAUUAAAGUAUGGGACUGUACGAAGCUAAAAAGGAUGCCUCUGUGUCUUCCUCAUUUUCUAGAUACACACCAAGCAGCUCCUUCUGUUCGUCCUUUCGUAAGUGUCCUCGCGCAUCCAAAGGAGUGGUGGGAAUCAGUAGAGUGGGACUAUCCGAAUGCUAAGGAGGUUCUGCGACCUUGGUUGAACUUUUAUUAGCGCUGCUGGAAGCCUUUGCUGUUCAAAUCAAAUUCCGGAUCAAGCUAAACAGUGAGUCUUCAUUUGUUGCUUUUAUUUCUAGAAAAAAAAUUGAAGAUUUUUUAUUCUACCAAAAAGAAGACGGGCAAGAAGAGGAUUAUGAUUGGCAAAAUAGAGACCAAAGAGAACAAAGCUAUUACCAAUGUUUGAAACAAAUUUAUAUCAAUUAGCAUCAUGCUUUGUUACCAGCUGUAGGCUAAUUUGGUUGAAAUGGUUUUAAUAAAGCACGGUCUCAUUUGCUUCUUUGUUUAACCCCAGUGAUUAGGCUUGCUCUAGAACCCUUGAGAUUCUCAUUAUGACAUUAAUGAUUUGAAUGAACGAACAGCCCCUUUUUCUUCUUUAUUUGGUAACUGCGCUUUAAGUUGAUAUAAAUAUGUUUUCCAAUGUAGUAUUCUUGUUUGCUUAGAUCAAUGUCAAAAACCUUGCCUCCAAUGCUUCCCUUUCUUCUCCACCUUUUUUUUUUUUUGAAUUCUUUGUGGGGUCUUAUUAAAUACAGGUUGUUUAUACCAUUCUAAAGCUAGCAAAGCAGUUGGCUUGACAAUCAAAUCUUUGAGAAACAAAUCAACCCAACUCAUCACUGUACCUUCAUUCUUCUGUGGUGGUUCUAUCUUUGAUGUGGUACUUCGUCGGAUGCAUCCUUCUCUUGUGGUUUUAUCUUUAAUAAAUGAACUUCAAUUUGGUUUCAAUGUGAUUGGAUUGUUGAUGUUGUAAUUCAACUUUGUACUUGAUAAUCCUGCUUCUAGUUUGCAUCAUUUUUUACCAUGUGGUUGUGUUUCCUGUGGCUUAAUUGUCUCAUUUAAUCUUGGAACUUGCACAUUUAUAUAUAUAUUGAACCAUCCCAAAGGUAUAUACCACUUCUUGAAAUGGUGUUUUAUUUAGGUGGCCUUUUUGCUAUUGUGAACCAUCCCAAUGCUAAGCAGGAUCUGCUACCUUACUUGGUAAUGCUAUAGCGCUACUGAAAGGCUUUAUCCAAAACUCUAUCUAUUCCUUGCAUCUGAUGGUGGGUUAAUGUUUAGACAUAAUCUAGACUUGGAUUUGAUUAAAUGAGCGUUUAUCUAGAUUUUUCAAAUUAAAUUGAUUUGGUUUCAGAAUUAGAAUAAAAAGCUAGUUUUGAAAUUUAUUUUAUUUAAGUUGGAAUGUAUUUUAUUUUGAGUUUAAAUUAAUUAAUAAAAUAAUUUUAAUUUAAUAUAUUAAGUCAAGAUUUUUAGUUGAUUAAGCAAUUUAUUAGUGAUUAAUGGAACUAGUUCAAAAAUUUAUCUUAACUGAAAUAAUUACAUUAAAAAAAUUAAAAUAUCAUAGAGUGAACAUUAUCAUCACAAUUUGCAUUCAUGUAGUUAUAUAACUCUACUUUUAGUUAUCACAACAGCAGAACAGGUUUUUAGCGGCGUUUUUUUUUGCCUUUAGCGGCGCUUUUAAACGCCACUAAAUCCAUUUCUGGUUCUUGAAGAAGCGCCGCAAAAAAUGCCGCUAACGACAACGUCGCAAAUUUUUGCGGCGCUUACAGAAAAAAAUGCCACUAAAGAUCAUGUUCUUUAGCGGCCCUUAGAAAAAAACGCCGCUAAAGAUCAUGUUCUUUAGCGGCGCUAAAAAAAUAAACGCCACUAAAGACCAUCUUUUUUAGCGGCGCUAAAAAAUAAACGCCACUAAAGACCAUGUUCUUUAGCGGCGCUUUAGAAAUAAACGCCACUAAAGAGCAUGUUCUUUAGCGGCGCUUAGAAAUAAACGCCACUAAAGAUCAUGUUCUUUAGCGGCGCUAAGGAAAUAAACGCCGCUAAAGAUCAUGUUAUUUAGCGGCGCUUAAGAAAAAAACGCCGCUAAAGAUCAUGUUCUUUAGCGGCGCUUUGAAAGAAAACGCCUCUAAAAGUAAUGUUCUAUAGCGGCGCUUGUUUAAAAACGCCGCUAAAAGUAGUAUUCUUUUAGCAGCGCUUAUUUCAGAAAUGCCACUGUUUGAUAUGACUUUUAGCGGCGCUUUUUUAAAAAACGCCACUAAUUUUAGGAUUUUUUUUAAAUAAAACUUUCUGUUUUUUUCUGCCCUCCUGCAACAAAAAAUUAAAAGCAACCAAAUCUAAACUAACAAAAAACAAUAAAUUUAUAUAAUAUUUCAAAUUAAAUGACUAAAAUAAUAUUAAUUUAUAUAAAUAAAAUUGAAUUCAUACUUUUCUUUACAAAAGCGUUAAAAGUAUUUAUGCAACAUACACUAUGACGGCGGAAGUUGCGACUGCUGAAACAUCUUCAUCAUAAUCUGAAGCUGCUGUUGAAGUUCGUUGUACUUUUUGCUCUGCUCCGCUUCUCUCGAUGCCGCAUCUUUUUGAAGUCGUAGCUAUAGUUCUUCAUAUUUCUUUUGAACCUCUGCUUCUAUCGCUGCUUCUCUCGCUGCUUCUCUCGCUGCGGCCUCUGCUUCUCUCGCUGUGGCCUCUGCUUUAAGUUGUUGCUGAAGUUCUUCAUAUUUCCUUUGAACCUCAAAUGUGAUCGCUUGCAUCUGAGCCAUCUGGUCUUUUAACCUCUGAACUUCAGCUUGAGAUUGACUCCCCGAAGCCAUGUAUUGGUGCGAGCUGGAUCCAAAAUAUUGGGUUGGGCUGAUAAAAGAUCCUUGAAAUCGAACCCGACCAUACUUUUCAGGACCCAAUACUUCAGUAAUAAUCCGGUUAUCAAUGUCUUCAAGAUGAACAGAACUAUCACUAGAAGCAAUCGCUUCGUACUCCGUCUUUUUUUCCUUUAGUUUUUCCUAAUAAAUAAAUCACAUAGUUAGGAACGCAAUAUAUAUAGUAAAAAAAACAAAUGCAAUAUAACAAUAGUCGCAUUACAAGCAAUGAAUUAAACCAUUAGAAAAUAAACACUAUAAAUAACUAAAACAAGUGAAAUCAUAUUAAGUAAACGUACCAUAAUUUCACCAGCUUCAGGAGUCAUAGCAGAUCCAUCUUUUUUCUUAUGUGUAAUUUCAAAAAGUUGUAGGCGUCCAACUUUUUGACCGGAUGACCGUUCCUACAAUAUAGUAGUAAAAAUAUUAUUUAAUAGAAAGUUAUACAUAUUUGAGAAUAUUAAAAAAUUAAAAAUACCUCCGCCUCAGCUACACAUGCAAAACUUCUCGACCCGGCUGUGUGAGUGAAUUUUUGUUGCUGCCGGCUGCUUUUUCCAACUCGCUCACGAUCCUACGUUAUAAAAUUUUUAGUACGUAAAUAGUAAAUACUAUAAACCAAAAUAAUUACAAUAGUUUGGAAGUACGUCGUACCUCGCCUUUCUGAGAAUACCAAAAUCUAACCGCAUCUUCCCAUUGGUACCUCAACAUACCCGGCGGGACAUUUUGCAAUUUCUCAUCGAGGGUGGUUUUUGUCUUAUAAUAAUUUUUCUUCAAAGUACUUUUACUGUCUCUCCAUCUUUUUCCCAAUGCCUUCUUUACAUAAGCAUCGGAGACCUCUAAAGCAAAUAAAGUAAAUAUAAAUGAAACUAUUUCCCAAGCAUUACAGAUGACAUUAACAUUUUGUUACCUUAAUAUUAUCGAAGGCUUGGUUUUUGUUGCUAUCGGGCAUUUGACGCCAUGACUCGUAGUUGAUAGGCAACAUAUUCGGAUUUCGUGCUAAAAUGCCCAUGUAUCCUGCUAAAAGUCGAGCUUCUGAUUCAACAGGCUGACCAAAACUGUUUCUGCGUACCUUGACACGCUCGGCUGGAUCUAACUCGUAUAACUCUCUAAGUAGCGUACGUCCUCGACCUCUACGCGUCCCACCAUUUUCAGCUACAAAUGGUAUAUUAUAAUAUAAGAAUUUGAAAAAUAAAUCAAUUAUAAGUUAACACGCAUGGAAUUAAUGUAAGUUACUUUGAACUUCCGUAAGAUCCUCGUGUGUAAUCGAAACAUUCGAAGAUCCAAUUGCUGUCUGUUGUUCAGUACUAUUUGUUUCUAUCGAGUUUGGAUCAUUUUGAACAAUGCUUUCCCUUAUAAUUUUUCUUCUAGGCAUUUUAUCUGCAAUACACAUAAAAUGUAAUUAAACUUAAUAAUUAAUUACAACAAUAACAGCACAUAUAAAAUAGUUGAGUUAUAUAAUAAGACCAAGAUUUAAUACUAAUGUAAGUAUAUAAUUAAACAAUCGUAAAAUCUUACUACAUCAUUAUUCGUAAAAAUCUUCAUCCGUAUCCUGACGAACCCAUUGAAAUUGUGCACUAGUACUAAGGGUAUUAUCGUUUAAGUUUUGUUCUGGAAAUGGAAAAGUUUUUGAUCUGUCGUCGAUGUUAUCUCUACUUCCACUGCCCAUGUCAAACAAGUCUCUAGGGAUGUUACGGAGUACAACGUACCAACCCUCAUCAGUUGGAUCUUUUGAGUAAAAAACUUGUUUGACUUGACUUGAGAAUACAUACGGCUCAUCUAUCAGUUGUUGUCCUGUGUGAAUCAAUCGGUCAAAGUUCACCAUUGUAAAACCAAAUUGAUCUUGCUUGAUUCCACGAGCUGUAUUAACAUCGGCCCAAUCACCUCGAAAUAAGACAACUUUCCAUUUGCCGUAGUAAUCCAACUCAAUUAUGUCAGUAAGCUGUCCGAAAUAUUCCACAUUUCCCUCGACUGGAUUAUUGUCCCUAGCGCUAGCAUAACUUGUAAUUGCAGAAUUAACAACUAUUCCACAAUUUUGCGUUCUCCUCAACCUCUCGCGAUAUUUUGUAUGAAAUCUGAAUCCGUUGAUGAGGAACGCACUAUAUCUUUUAACCACUCGAUUUGGACAUUGGGAGAGCCAUUUAACUUCGUCGUUUACGCUCUUCCCAUUCGAAACCUAUUGAAUGGAAAGUAAACUAAGUACUUAAAAAUGUUAUGAGAAAGCAUUAUUAUUUGUAAGCGAAAGCUCCAACUACAUACCGUUUGGCUUAACCAUUCAUAAAAAGAUUCUGUAAACAACUUCUUGAUAUCUCGAUGUUGUGUUCUUCGGUUGCGCGAACGAGAUCUCAAUAUUUGUUUGUACUCACUAUAUAUGUUAAAAAAAUGUGAUCUUUGUUAGAAGAUAAACAAUUUUUAGUUUGAUAAAUAUUUAUAAAAUUUGUAGAACUUACUUCCGUAAAGGUUCCAAUGAUUCGUGGUGAAACAGAACAUAUCGUUGUGCUUGUACCCACAAUAAAUUAUCUAAUUCCGCAAUUUCAACUUUGCCGAUUGGUUGUCCAGAACUUUGGAACAAAUAAGUACUAUCGGCUAAGUUAUAGUCUGUGAGUCCAGCAUUCCUAUUUGGUCUGUUCAACCUUGUUUCGACAUCUUCCAAAUAUCUUGAGCAGAAGGUCAUACAUUCCUCUGCCAAGUAGCCUUCAGCAAUCGAUCCUUCUGGAUAUCGCUUGUUGCGACAAUAAGACUUUAAUUUGGAUAGGAACCUAAACACAAUAUACAACAUUAUCAUAAGUUGUAACUAUAGGCAUAGAGGUGAAUGAAAGAAAAUUUUAAAAAUACUUCUUUAACACCUUUCUAUGGGAUACAUCCAUCGAUAGAAAACGGGUCCGCAUACAUCCUCGACUGUGCAUCAUUUUCAUCGUCGUUCCCAUCUUCUGUGUUUCUAUUUAUCCAACGGGAGUGGCCGCAUACAUGACAGCACUGUUGGUUUUUCCGAUCGCCCCAAUACAACAUGCAGUCAUUUGGGCAACUAUGGAUUUUGUUGUACCCAAGGCCUAAAUCUUUUAUCAUUUUCUUCAUAUCUUUGCAUGACUGAGGGAUUUUUGUAAACGGAAACAUUUCUCUCAAAAACUCUAGUAGCAUUGUCAACGAGUUUUCGGUCCACCCUCCCAAACAUUUUAACUGAAAAAGACGAACACAGAAGGCCAUUUUUGAAAAUUUUGAUCCCUCAUACAAUUCUUCGUUCAUGUCAUUAAGUAGAGCGUAGAACUUCGCCGCUUCUCUAUUUGGCUCUUCAUGAGGUACACUACUUCCCGGUUUGGUAAAAGUAGUUCCACCGACGUUACAAUCAUCAUAUGCCAUAAAAUCCCCUGGGAACGAUUACACACCAUGAUUGUGCAUAUUAAAUGCAUCCCGCAACAUACCUUCCAUGUCAUCCCCUCUAUCAGACUAAUGGUAAGCAGUCCCAGGAUAAGAUACAUCCAUCGUUAAAGAGGAAGUACUUCUAGGGCAUUCUCCAUGAAAAAUCUAUUGCUUAUAACCCUUAACAAACCCAUCAACAAUUAGAUGCUCGUAUACAACCUCACGAUAAUGCCAGUUUAGGUUGACACACUUUUUACACGGGCAAAGAAUCAUGUUCUCUUGGCUUGCAUAUUGAAAUGCAAAAUUUAGAAAACUCUGCACCCCAUUUCGAUAACCGUCGCUUACCCUUGACAAAUUUAUCCAAGACCGGUCCAUUUCUUAAUUCUUGAAGUCUGACGUUGACAAUAAAUUGCACGGUUUUAGGAUUUGACAACAAGAUAUACAUUAUAUAAGUUAUGUAAGUUAUGUAAGUUAUGUAAGUUGUGUAAGUUGCGUAAGAUGUGUAUUAUGAAACUUAUGUAAGUUAUGUCUUAUGUAAGUUAUGUAAAUUAUGUAUUAUUUACACAUGUAAGUUAUGUCUUAUGUAAGUUGCGUAAGUUGUGUAUUAUGAAAGUUAUAUCUUAUGUAAGUUAUGUAGGGUAUGUAUUAUUAUGUAACUUAUUUAAUUUAUGUAGGGUAUGUAUUAUUAUGUAACUUAUUUAAUUUAUGUAGGGUAUGUAAGUUAUGUAAGCUCUGUAUUAUUUACGCAUGUAAGUUGUGUAUUAUGUAUUAUUACGUAAGUUAUGUAGGGUAUGUAUAAUAUUAAAAAAAUAGUAAUAUACUUAUUUAAGUUAUAAAUUUAUUAUUAAUAAAAUUUAAAUAUAGCUUACAUACGUAAAUGAAUAUAUGUAUAAUAUUAAAAAAAUAGUAAAACUUAUUUAAGUUAUAAAUUUAUUAUUAAUAAAAUUUAAAUAUAGCUUACAUACGUAAAUGAAUAUAUGUAUAAUAUUAAAAAAAAUAGUAAUACUUAUUUAAGUUAUAAAUUUAAACUUAAAAAUAAAUUAAAAGUUUGAAAUUUUUUGUAAGUUAUCUAAAAUUAAACUUAAAAAUAAAUUAAAAGUUUGAAAUUUUUUUCCAUGAUUAAAAUUAAAUAAAAGAAAACAAAACAAACUAAAUUUCGGGGAUUAAAAUAGCAACUAAAGGAAAAAAAUUUGUUUUGGAGGAAAACAUAUAAAUAUUUGCAAACUAUACGGGCUUUAACCAAAUGUUUAUAUUAUUUAGACAUAAAUAACCUUCAUUUUCGAAAUAAUUUACUUGUUAUAUGGAAUAAUAUGUAUACAACAGUUAACCAUGUUUUAUAUCAAUGAAACUGAAAUGUGAAAAGAAAUUGGAUUAAUUUGUUAUUGAAUGUAACGUAUAGUUCCGAAAUUUUGAAUAAUUUUAAAAUAAAAAAAUUUAAUCCAAUUUAUUAAAUUUAUUAAAUUGCUUCUAUUUUGCUCAACAUAUAUAGCAAUCGUUGAUGGAUGAUAACAAAAAACAUAAGUCAGAAAAGUACAUGGCAAUUGUAAAAUAAGUAAAAUGAAACAUAAGCUAGAGGAAAAUAACCAAAACCAAUUACAUGUAUACAAAACCAGAGCCCCAAAAGAAACAUUUUUCAAAAAUCAUCUUGCUAUUUCCAUAUAAUAUUCACAAAAAGUCAGACCAUUUUAGUUUAUAGAUUUACUUACCACUAUAUUACAGUUUAAAAUUUUUAAAAAUACAAGAACUAAACUUGAUCAAAUUUCUGAAUCGGUAGUAAGUCCAUAUGAUUAACUGUGCAGUGACUAAUAAGUCCAUACUUCAACAACAAAUGUUAUCAUUAAUCUAGACAAUAAAAGCAAAAGAAUCAAAAAAAAGAAUGAAUCUCAAAGUUCAGCCUAAUAAAGAGGUUGAAAGAAGAUUUAUACCAAAAAUAUUACUUUGCUCAGAAUGUAAUUUGAACUUACAAAUUUUGAACAGUGCUGUAGUGUUCCGUUCCUUGCCACUACUGGAUUUUUGUAAUAGUAUGUAUAGUAGCCCUGCCAUAGCAAACAUUAAUAGAUGUGAAUCAAUAGGUUUUGAGAAUGAAUCUCAACAUCAAUAACCUACCCCUCAUCCUGAGCUAUUUUCGACAGAAAAGAAAUAAAUGAUUAACCAAGGUAGUAACGUACUAAGUUUACAGAGAAGAAUUCUUCUCUUAAAACCAUUUUCAUUGUCUGAUCGAAAUGGUUAAGGUUAUGAAAAUUAUUACCUAAAAAUGUUCUUACUUUCUUAACCCUAAUUUGAAUUUACCGUAUUAAUACCUAAAAAUGAUCUUACUUUCUUAACCCUAGUUUGAAUUUUCUUAUUUCAAUGGCUACUUGUCACUUCAGUGGCUAUUUCUCAACUAAAUACGACGACCCUCAUCAGUCGGCUAGGUAGAAUAAAAACUGAAUUGUAUGUUUAAAAAUUAAACUGUACGAAAAAAAGGAAUAAUGUGAAAACUAAAAUAUGUGAAAACUAUUGCAUUUCACGAAUAAAUAUAGAUGAAAAUGCUGAAAUAUGUGAAAAAUGAAAACCCUUGAACUACCGUCGGCAAGAGAACAAACCUCUAAGCUGGCGAUUUCAAGGUUGCCGAUUUCGGGAAACUCGUUGGGCUGCCGAUUUUCGGGUGAACUUAGGGAUUUCAGGGGGAAUUCUCUAAAAAUCUUAAAGUUUGGGGAACUAAUUAGGGCUGCUGGGGAAAUGAAUGUCGAAAGUCUGCUAGGGAAGAAAGGGGAAAUAAAAAUCGGAGUAAGAGGAAAACGGAGGGGAAGCAAACGACGACGUUUUGCUAAAUGAAAUAAACCCUUGUGGCUUUUAACUAGACGUGCCGCUAAAUCCAUGGAAAUUGCGGCGUUUCAAAACAAACGCCACUAAAAACCCACAAAAAUGGUGACGUUUGCAUUAAUACAACACAAGGAAUUCCGACGUUUUUGACAUUGCGCCUCUAAAUCCUGCAGCAUUUACGGCGUUUGACCAAAAACGCCACUAAAGAAGCUAUCAACACGGUGCCGUUUUGCUGAACACAGAUUCAGGGUAAGGGCAAAACAGAGGACAGAAAAACGAUGACGUUUGAGUAAUAGAAAUAAACUAUUGCGGCAUUUAUUAGAAACGCCGCUAAAUUUCUACCUACUGCGGCGUUUAAUCCAAAACGCCACUAGAGAACCUCCAAAACGGCCGCGUUUGGGUUAAUAGAAAAUGACGUUUGCAUUAAUACAACACAAGGAAUUGCGGCGUUUUUGACAUUGCGCCUCUAAAUCCUGCACAUUUACGGCGUUUCACCAAAAACGCCACUUGUGAAGCCAUUAACACAGCGUCGUUUAGAUAAAAAUAGAAUUAGAACGAGGGAGAAAAUGUAGGAGACCAAAACGACGGCGUUUUACUCUCUGCAAUAAAUGUUUGCGGCGUUUAACUAAAAACGCCGCUGGAUACACACAAAACACAGCCGUUUUGAUAAACACAACGCCGUUUUCAUUAAAAUAUCUUAUCUUUUUGCGGCGUUUUCUGUAUUGCGCCGCUAUAGGUCUACAUAUUGCGGCGUUUCUCUGAAAACGCCACUAAAUAAGCCUAUUGAACGGCACCGUUUUUAUGACAACAUAAUUCCUUUAGUAUGAAAUUUGUUUCUAUAUUUGAAAGGUUUAAUUAUUUCUUAAAUAAAUUUAAAUUAAAUUUGUUCUGUUCCACGCUAUAUAUUUAAUAUGUAAAAUUUUAAUUAUAAUUGUAUACAUGAAAAUAAUUUUAAAUAAUAUCAAAACUCGAGCUAGAUAUAUGUCUUCCUUCUGAAGAAUAUUAUGUAAUUUUUUGUAUUAAAUUAAGAAGGCAAAGCUUAUGAUGUUACGAUAGAAUCGAAAAAAAUUAGACGGAUCAAAACAAUCCGAAAUAGAUGUUCAUGAAUAUUGGUUAAUAGAAAGGAUCGAUAUAUAUAUAAUUCUAUUCCCUUGACUGAUCUUGAUUUUAGUUCAACUAGUAUUCGUGUCUGCGCCAUUCUUCAAACAAGAGCACGAACAUAUGACAUUGUAAGAACCCUACAAUUAGUAAGGGUGAAAAACGCUUCAUUAAAAACACUAAUUAAUCAAAACCCCGAAACACUAAACCCCAAAAUUAUACACCCUAAACACUAAUCCCAAUUACCCCUAAACUUUAAACCCCAGCACUUAAACCCUAAACCAUAAAACAUAAUCACUAAACCCAUAAUCCAUAAACCUUAAAUUGUAACUCUUAAAUCUUAAACCAUAAACCUUAAAGCAUAACCCUUAAACCCUAAACUGUAAAACCAAACCCUAAAUAUAUCCCCAUAACCCCUUAAAGCAUAACCCCUAAAUCCCCCUAACCCCUAAGUCAUAACACCUAACCCUUAAACCACAAAACCUUGAACCUUAAUUCCUAAACCUUAAAUCCAUACCCUGACCUACUCAUGAUUAAACUCUAAACCAUAUACUAUAAUGAUAAUUAAUUCAAUAUUUUAAAAUUAAUACUACCUUUUUUACGAUUAUAUAAGAAAUUAUUUAAUAUAUAAACUAAAAAAAUCAGUAAUGUAUCCAAAAAACUUUAAAAAUAUUUUAAAUAAAUUUAUUUAAAUCCCUGAGCAUUAGCGGCGCUUUAUUAAAAACGCCGCUAAACCCCUGAAAAGCUAAGAAAAUGGUGUCGUUGGGUUAAAUUUUUUUUGCGGCGCUUUCAUAAAAGCGCCGCUAAAAACUCAGCAUUAGCGGCGCUUUAUUAUAAACGCCGCUAAACCCCUGAAAAGCUAAGAAAACGGUGUCGUUGGGUUAAAUUUUUUUGCGGCGCUUUUAUUAAAGCGUCGCUAAAAACCCAGCAUUAGUGGCGCUUUACUAAAAACGCCGCUAAAUCCCCGAAAGCAAAGAAAACGGUGUCGUUGGGUUUAUUUUUUUUGCGGCGCUUCCAUAAAAACGCCGCGAAAGCCCUGCAUUAGCGGCGCAUUAUUAAAAACGCCGCUAAACCCCCCCCGGAAGCUUAGAAAACGGCGUCGUUGGGCUUAGUUUUUUAAAGCGCCGCUAAUUCUUAUUUUCAGUGGCGUUUUCAAUUCAGUGCCGCUAAUGAUCGAUCUUUAGCGGCGUUUGUUAUUAAAACGCCGCUAAAUACACCGCUAAAAGCCUAUUUUGGUGUAGUGUAUCCAUAAUUAAUUUUAAAUAUAUAUAUAUAACAAUGAAAAGUUAAGAAAUUUCAAAAAAAAAAAAAACACUUUUUGUUGAGGCCAUAGAUCAAAUGGUUAUAUUUGUUAAAUGACUACUCCAACCGUUAAAACCAUCUUUGUGAAAAAAAAUCAGCUUGAUCAAGAUUGUAUACAGGAGCUAGAAUUGAAUUACUCAAAUAAUUUAAAUUGUUUUAAAAAAAAUUAAUCAACUUUAAUAAUUUCUUUUGAGAUUAAAAAACUUUAAUCAAUUUUAAAAAAAAUUAAAUUUUAUCCAUCCCUAAUCUUUUAAAUAUAAAGAAAGACUCUAAACAGAUUUUUUUUUAUUAAAAAAAUUAUAAGAUGAUAGAUAGCUACUUAUCAUUAAAUUUAGAAAAUAUUAAAUUACUUUUAUUUUAUUAAAAAAUUAAAAUAAAUUAUUUUUUAAAAUGAAAUAUUCAAAUUACCCUAUGUAUCUUUUAUCCAAAACUAUCUACAAUAAUAUAAAAUAUUAUAUUAAUAAAAUUAAAAUUAAUAAAACAAAUAAUCUUUUAAAAUCAAUAUUUACUUUUGUUAAACAAUAUAAUUAUAUUCGAUACUUAUAUUUACUAAUUUAUCAAAUAAUUUUUAAUAUACAUUUAAAACUUAUAAAAUUUAAGGGUAAAAAUGCAGUGGUUAAAUUUUUAAUAAUUAAAAUUUUAAUUUAUCAUUAGAUUAUGUAAUAAACAACAAUAAUAUAUAAAUAAUGAAAGUCAAUUACGCUCAUUGUCUUCCAUUAAAGAAAAGUUACACUCACGGUUUUUCAGUGAUAUUUCAGAUUUAUUUUUUAAUUAGUUUUUUAAUAAUACAUUUUUUUUUAUCGUAAUCAAAAUAUCUAUAGUUGACAGCAGUUACUAAUCUCUUUUUCGAAGGUAGACAAUGCAUUUUUAAUUACAAUAAUUAGUAUAUUCGUUAUUUAAAUUAUUGAAGAUAAUUAAAUUAUAUUAUCUUAUUUUAAAAAUCAAACUUAUAAUAAUAAAAAAUUUAAAAUGAUAAUUAAAGCAUUUAUAUUAUAUUCAAUGUAGAAUAUAAUUUUACUUCAUUUAAUUUAUACAGAACAACAAUACUAAAAAUAAUAAUAUAAUUAACAUAUAAAAUUAUUUUGUCAUUCAAAUGCAGUGCUAAUAAAAAAAUUCUUAAUAAUUAUUAAAAAAUUGUAAAAAUUAUAAAAAAAAGUAAUAUAUCAUAGGGAUCAUAUAUAAAAUCAUUUAAUAAAAAAAUUAAUCUUCACAAAAUUCCAAUGUAUCCCAAAUAAAGUCAUAAUAAUAAAUUUCUUGAUAUUAAUCAAUAAAGAUUAAAACAAAAAAUAUAUAUUAUCAAAUUAGGAAAACCUACUUGAAAAUCUUGAAAAAUUAAUAUUUAUCAUAUAAAAUUCUAGAGAGAAAAAGAGAAUAAGAAAAAUAUUGGAGAAAGUGAUGAAUAUUAAAAAGAAAAAGAAUAAGGAGUUUUGAAAUUUUGAGUAGGUUGAGAGAUAUUUAUUUUGUUUUAUAUAAAUAAAAUAUUUUUAUAACAAACUUUUUUUUUUGAAGUCACUUUGAGUCCACGAUUUUUUAUUGACUUCGCCCACAUAUUAAAAGUAUAAUAUAAAUAAAAGAAUAAAUAUAUAAUCUUUCUCUAUUUUAAUUAUUUUAUCUACAUAAUGUGAUUUAUUUAAAAUAUAAAUAGUAUGAUAUUUUAAUUGAUUAAGUUUUAGUUCAAUUGGUAUGAGUAUUAUUAUCAAUGCAAUAACACAAUAGUUUGAGCGCCCCUCCUUAAUUUUUUAUAUAUAAAAGUUUUAAUUUAUAAUUUCAACUAAAUUGAACCCAAACAAGCAUAAUCUCUUCAAUCAUGGUUUAGUCAAAUUUAUUAUCUUUAAGUUUGAGAUCUAAUCUUUUAAAUUUUAAUUUGACAUAAUUUAUCCUCUAUUUUUAUAAUAUUAUUUGUUAGUCUAAAUUAUUAAUAUCGAUUAAUUAUUUCAACUAAAAAGCUAAUUUAAUUGUUUCUCAAAAACAUUAUAUCACACAUGAUCAGUUAGGAUGUGUUUUAAGAAAAAAUCUACUUCAAUUAAUUAGUUAUUUGAAUUAGCAUAUGAUAUUAUAAAAAUAGAGGACCAAAUUAUGUUACAUUAAAAACUAGAAGGAUUAAUUUUUAAAUUUGAGUAUAAUAGAGGAACCAAAACUAACUUUGACUUGUCUAUUAUUGUAGCAACCCGAUUUUUGACCCAAAUCGGAACAGUGGUUUCGGGACCACAAAUCCGAAUUAGAAAAAUAUUUUAAUAUUAUUUUCUGUGUUUAUUAUGAGUGAAUUUGAUUGUGUGAAAUUUCCGUGUUUUAAUUUCAUCGUUUAAGUAUCCGAUUUAAUAAAAGGGUUUAAACGCGUAAAAUAAAAAUUUAAGGGUUAAAUCUAAAAGCACCUAAAUGUUGUUGUCUUUUUAAAUGGGAGGAUUUAUGAUGUAAUAAGACCAAAAGUUAGAUAGUGGGUGGCAUUUGACAAGAGUAACCUUAAUAUAUAUGUUAGACAUAAUUAUUAGUAAAAGGUUAAUAUAGUAAUAAGGUAAAUAUUAACUUUAUAAUAAAAUUAAGUAAUGAAAAGAUGAAUAGGUUCAUCUUGGUUAGCCGAAUGUUGAAAAGGAAGGAACCAUACAUGGCUUUUUAAGUUUCGGCACUUCUUUAGCUUGGUUGAGGUAUGUUUUGAUUUCGAUUUUUGAUGAUUUUUACGUUUUUGUAAUCGUUGCUUCGUGUUCUAUUUAGCCCAUGCUUUAAUUUUAGAAUUUGAAGGUGAUUUUGAGAUAUGCCAUUGAUGAAUACUUGAGUUUUAUGAUAGUUAAUGAUGAAAUAUGGAAGAUAUGUGAUAGAUUAUAAUGUUUGUUUUUGAAUUUUUGAUGAAUUUGAUUAUUUUGGGUUAAUUUGUAAGAAAAUAUUAAAUUGAGGGACUAGAAUGUGAAAUAAAUGUCAUGCAAGGACCUAUUUGAGUCUAGGGAAUAUUCGGCCAAAGUACAUUGUGAUUAAUUUGGAAUAUUUUGUGUUUUGUGCAAUUUGGACUAAAUUGUAAAAAUGUUAAAUAUCAGGGGCAAAAUGGUAAAUUACCUAUUUAUGUGUUUUUGGACGGAAUUGAAUGAAAUUAUGUUUGAAUGAGUUAAAUUUGAAUGUGUAUAGAUCAAGAAUUAAAGAAAUCGGACUUGGAUCGGGGGAAAAUAAAGUCGUUGAUUAAUUGUUCCGUUCCGGUUUAUCGCUGUUCGAGGUAAGUUUAUAAGCAAUUAAAUGUUAAAAUUUCUGAAUAAAUUUUAGUUAUAUAAAUGCUGAAAUGAAAUAUGCAAAUAUAUAUAUAGCUGAAUGCGUUUUAGUUCGGAAAGUAGAAAUUGAUGUGAAUGCGAUUUAUCGAUAUUUAGCACUAAGUGUGCGAGUAUGGAAUAGCUACGGCUAAAUGAACGGCACUAAGUGUGCGAAAUUAAAAUAAUGAUGUUGGAUAAUGGGCACUAAGUGUGCGAAAUUAAAAUGAUGAUGUUGUAUAACGGGCACUAAGUGUGCGAUACCGAGAGCAACUUUGUUAGAUGAGAAAGAGCACUAAUUGUGCAAUUUCAUUAUGGCCUCGAUCAAUUAUUUUAGUACAUGAUAGUACAAGUAUACAAUGGAUGAAAAAUACUUGAGAUCAAGGUAAUUUGGUUAUUUCAAUUUUGAUGAGAAAAAAAUUUAUACGAGGAAAAUGAAAGUAUAUGAGCAUAUGAAAGUUUAUAUUUGGUCAAUUGGUAACUAUAUGUGAUUUUAUACUUAUGUUUUAUAUGCACUUAUUUAUGAAUGAGUAUAUUCGGUGAAAAGUGGGUAUAUGAAUUGAAUAUGAAAAUAACUAUGUUAUUAUUUAAAGACUUAUUCGGCCAAGCUGAAAAUUUGUUCAUAGUUACAUAUUUGAUAUUUAAGCUUUGCAAGCUCGAAUAUGUAUAUAUACGAAUAUGAUUGCAUUAUUUGAUUUUGUUAUUGAAUUAUUAAUGUCAUUAAAUUGUACAAUUGCUUAUGACUUACUAAGCUGUGGUAGCUUAUUUUGUAUAUGUGUGUUUUCUUUCGAUUUUAUAGAUUUUGGAAGCUAGUUACGGGUUCGGGGAUCGUCAGCGUAGUUAAUCACACUAUCGUCCGUUCAUCGGUAGUUAUAAAAGUUAAAUAUAAAAUCUAUGGCAUGUAUAGGCUAUACUCCCCUUUUUAUUAUAUUUUGAACAAAGUGUGUAUAUAUAUAUAUAUAAUAGGCCAUGCGAAAAUGGCUUGUUUAUUUUGACAUGAAUGGUUUCAUGCUUUGAAUGUGAUUAUGGUUGAUGAUUUAGCUAUGUUUCAUAGAUGGUUAAGACUUAUAUAAAUGAUGUUAUGCUUUGAGAGAUUUUCAAUUUUGAUUAUUAUGCGUAUUGGUUGUGAUAGACAAGUAAAGAUGAUUAAUAUGAUACGAUGUAAGUAUAAGUUACAUUCGAAUUCAUGGAUGGAAACAUUUUAGUUUUUGGCAAUUGAGAUUGAAUUUGAAUUAUCAUAUAUUAUGUGAAAAAUUGUAUAUUGUUUUAUUAUGAAAAUUGAGUAGUUGAAAUUGGUAAUUUGCAUAAUGAGCAUUGUUUAUGGAAUUGGUCUUGUAAAUGACCUUUGAUACAAUUGAAGGUUAAAUAAUACAUAGUAAAUAUAUAUAUAUAGGAUGGGCCUUGGUAUGUCAUGCAUGAAAUUGUUUGAGUAUUAAUGUAUUUGAUAUUAGUUAAAGUAUAAGUAUUUAAGUUUAAUUGUAUUCGGCUAAAACUUGAGAAGUUGACCGUAUGAAUAGUAAUUAUAAUUGAUUUGUUAGUCGAGUAGGCGAAAUGAGUAUGACCUAAAGUGGUGUUUGAAAUAUUUUGCAUAAAUUUUAAUUAUGAAUUAUGUGUUUAUGAAUUUGGUUCGGUAAUACCUCGUAACCUUAUUCUGAAGAUGGACUCGGGUUUAGGGUGUUACAAUUAUAUAAUAGGGUAAACUACACCACAGAUCACCCAUUUAUUGCUCUUUUUUUUUGUCACUCAACUAUCAUUUUUUUAAUGUGAUCAUUUAAUUAUUACAUUUUUUCUUUUUUGGUCACCCAACUAUCAUUUUUUUUAAAUUUGGUCAUACAACUAAUUGAAAUUAUUUUUGUUUGUCCAUUUCUAUUAAGUGUCGUUAAAUAUUUGACGAAAAAAUGACGUGACGAUUAAAAAAUUGGUAUAACAAUAAAUUUAACUCUAACUUUUAUAUAUUCUAUUGAUUUAUUAUUAAAUCAAUUUUAAUUUCAUGGCAACUGACAAAAAUAUACCAAAAAAAAUCUAAUUUAAUUAAAUGAAAAAAAAAACCAAUAAUGUAGUUUACCUAUAUAAUUAUAAGAUGUGGGCCGAACCUACCGGCCUAUAAUGUUUUACCACGAGGGAAUGUAAAAUUUCGAGACUGCCCUGCAAUCAUUUAAGCAAGUCAACUGAAGUCGAGCGGAUGUCCUUCGAUUUUUCAACAUUGGCUGCUAAAAUACCCGUAUAUUUCUCAUCAUUUAGGCAAACCAUUCCAGAGUAGAUAUCAAAGAAAAAAACAGCAGACAGGGUGAAGCAACGCCAAGGUAACAUAUAUUUUUCACAGUAGCUAAGCUAAGUAUAUUUAUUUGUUAACUCUGAUUUGAAUCGCUUUUCUGUGAAGUAGGUUACUCGCAACAAAUUCGUAUAAUCAGACGCUUUUCUCGUUUGCUUCAUCUGAGUGUAAUAGUUCAGGUAAGCUUUUCUUUCAUUUUAAAAGAAGGAAGACGAUGGGUGUGGGUUUGAGAAUAAUCUGAUUUCUUCUUUGUUUUGGAGGAAUUUCAAAAAUCUGACUUCCCAGUUUCGCAACAAUCUUACCUUCUAUAGUUUUUUUUUUUUUUAAUCUUAAAGUCAUUGAACAGUAGAAUAUAAUAUGUAUAAUAAAAUAUAAUAAAUAUAUAGAUCCAUAAUAAUUAGACCUCCUCUGGUUUCUCCGGUCUGUGUUUUCGGGCCCCUUAGACUUUUGUCUAGCAUCUUCUUUUUUGUACAACUUUUGAGAACUGUCGUCCACUGUCUGUAACUUUUUUAUAAUGAAAGUUUCUUUCAUAAAAUAAUCAUAAUUAGAAAAACGUAAUAUUUGAUUGGGUGAGAGAAAAAGACAAUAUAGGCAAGCUACUCAUAUUUUUAUUUUAAAUCAUUUCAAAAGAAUUUUUUAAUUUUAGUUAUCUGAACAUAAAAAUGAAUUAAAUUGACCAAUAAGUGGUAAUAAAAGAUUAACUGUACAUUUUUACCUUAAUCACUCUAAAAUUUAGAUAAAUUAUUCUUUAGUCACUGUAUAUAAAAACUAUUGCUACAUUGGUUUACCCAGUGGAUAACAUUUUACCUUAUAUAAAGAUAAAUUCCUAUUAUCACAGCUUUCCUCGUUUGCCUCAUCUUUGUAUAAUAUUUCAGGUAAGCUUUUCUUUUAUUUUCAAAGAUGAAAGACUAUGGGUGUGGGUUUGAGAAUAAUCUGAUUGCUUCUUUCUUUAAGCUAUGGUUUUGGAGGAAUUUCAAAUCUGACUUCCAGAUUUGAGUUUCGCAACAAUUUCUAGUUUUUUCUUUUUUAAAUUAAUUAUUCCGCCAUUAAAUGUAACAAAAGGCUAACAACGUAUUUUCACAUUCAUCACACUAAAACAAGGGGUUGUUACUGCUUUGGUUUAGGAUAACAUUUGAUCUUAUAUUUUUGUAUACGUUAGUUUUGUAAUUUAAUAACUUUUCUCAAUUUUGAAAAUUUUAAAUAUUCAAAGUCUAUUUGGACAUCACAAAAUAUUUAGUUGGAUAUUUAAUUUUGAAAAAUUGGGUGGCUAAAAGAAACAUAUUUAAUAGUUGAUUGACCAAGAUAUAAUAAACUAAAUAGUUAAAUGAAUAUUCAUAAAAUAUUUAUUAAUUUAAUUUUAAUAUAUUUCUGAUAACCAAAUUAUAAAAAUAUUCACUAUUGGUCUAACCAAAAUAAUUUACGUGUUUAACAGAAAAUUAUAUUUUAAUUUAAAAUUUAAUAAGAAAAAUAAUUUAUUAAUGAAAAAGGAAAUGACAAAAGAAUUUAAGCUAUAAUAAUAAGAAAAUCAUAUUUUAAUAAUAAAACACUAAAAUAAAUUCACAAAAAAUAAUAAUAAAAGGGAAAAGCUAAUUAGACAUUUUAGAAAGUUAAAAUGUUUUUAGUUCAAUCAAAGUACUUUGCACGUUGUAUCCAAAGUAUAUUAUUUAACUUUUAUAAGAAAAAUAUUUUUUAAAUAAAUAAAAAGAACAAAAGGAAAAAAUAAAUAUAAUAAGAAAAAAUAUUUUACUGGAAAAAAAAAAGAAUUCAUAAAAAUUAUACGAAAAAGGAAAAUCAAUUAAAUACUUUAUAAUAUUAUUUUAAAAGAACUCAUAAAAAAUUAAAUAUUUUAAAAGGGUAAAAAUGUUUUAUUUACAUAUUUUAUAUACGUAUUUUAGAAGAUUUUAUAUAUUUUGGAAGAAUAUUUUAUUUUUUAAUACCUUUUGGAGCUGACACUUAAUUUAUAUAUUGAUAGAUAUAUAAUCGUACAUUAAAAUCUAUCCUUCAUAAAGAAGUAAGUGUGACUAAUGGACGUAGUUAUUAUUACUACAUUGCAGAUUAUUUGGUGAAUUAUGGAACUUGCAGGACCAAUUUGUGAAGUGCUAAAGUGCUUAGGAGAUCCAACAUGUACAUACAUACAGCAUCACAGAAAACUUAAAGACAGGAUGAAUGAUCUUCAAGAGAGACUAGUCCGACUAAAUGCUAUGAAGAGAGAUGUGGAGCGGAGAAUAAACGCAGAGCUUCGAUGGGGAAGACUUUUAAGGGAAGAAGUAGAGAAGUGGCUUCUAGAUGUGCAAACCGUCAAUGAUACAAUGCGGGACAUUGAUGAACGAAUGCAAAAUGUGUCUUGUUUUUCACGUGCACGCCUUGGAAAACGUGCAGUUCAAACAAUUGAACAAGUGGAGGGAAUUAUUGAACGAGGUAGGUUCCCUGAAGCUCUAGUAAUUGAUAAUCCAUCUACUGCUGGAGUGCCUUUUCAAUCGGAACAUUUAGAAGGUGAAAUCAUGGUGAUAAAAGACAUUUGGAACUAUUUAAUGAGUGAUGAAAUUGGAAUGAUUGGAGUAUGUGGGAUGGGUGGGAUCGGGAAAACCACUAUCGUGAAGCACAUAUACUAUCAACUAUUGAAGGAGACUAAACCUUUGUUUGAUAAAAUCAUUUGGGUCACUGUUUCAAAGGAGCUCAACAUUCCCAAAUUACAGCAAAACCUUGCAACUGCUAUGAAUAUUGUAGGUCUUCCAGAAUCUGAACCAGAGCGUGUAGCAGUAUUAAUGGAUAAAUUGGGACAAAGAAGAUAUGUAUUGAUCUUAGAUGAUGUUUGGAAAAAGUUCUCUCUGGCAGACGUAGGGAUUCCUAAACCAACCUCCAGCAAUGGGAGUAAGUUGGUAUUAACUAGUAGAUUGAUUGAGGUUUGUAGAUCAAUGGACUGUAAGGUAGUCAAAGUGCCUCCACUCUCCAAUGAGGAGUCCAUGAAUUUAUUCUUGAAGCAUGCUGGACGUGGGGUUUUAAAGGUUCCAUCUUUGAAAGAAAUUUUGGACAACGUUGUUAAGGAGUGUGAUGGGUUACCCCUUGCCGUUGCUGUAAUAGCUGGGAGCAUGAAGGGAAUAUAUAACGUUGAAGAAUGGAGGAACGCAUUAAGAGAGUUACGAGACCAUGUAAGAAGCGUGAAGGGCACAGAUGUUGAAAUAUAUGAGCGAUUGAAGUUCAGUUUCGAUCGUUUGGGAGAUUUGAAAAUCCAAAGUUGUUUUCUUUAUUGCUCACUAUAUCCAGAAGACUAUAUAAUUCCAAGGAAGGAAUUAAUAGAAUACUGGAUAGAUGAGGAAUUUCUUGGAAAUGGGAGUCGACAAGAGUUGCAUGAUAAGGGUCAUACUAUAUUAAAUAGGCUGGAAAAUAAUUGUUUGUUGGAAAAGGUUGGUAGAGAUAUUGUGAAGAUGCAUGAUGUAAUGAGAGAUACAGCAUUGUAUAUCAAAGGUUCUGGCUCCCGUUUUAAGGUACAAUCUGGCAUCGGACUAAAAGAACUACCAAGCAAGCAAGAAUGGGGAGAAGAUCUUGAAAAAGUUUCCUUCAUGGUGAAUAACGUAUCUGAGAUUCCUCCGCACUUGUCACCCAAUUGUGAAGUUCUUUCUACCUUAUUAUUGCAAAAGAAUGAAUCAUUACAAAGGAUUUCAGAAUCGUUCUUUCAACAUAUGCAUAGACUCAGCAUUCUUGAUCUUUCUUAUACCAAUGUCAAGCAACUGCCAACUUCUGUGUCAAACUUGGAAAAGCUCAAAGCAUUGGUGCUUCGUCGAUGCUACAACUUGAGAUAUGUGCCUUCACUAGAAAAGCUUGAGGCUCUAAGAAAGUUGGACCUCAAUCGUACAGCUAUUGAAAAGGUGCCUAAAGGUUUGGAAAUGUUAUCAAAUCUAACUUAUCUUAAUUUAUGUGCUGAAAGCUUAAAGGAGCUGCCAGUUGCAAUUCUACCCAGGCUUUCUUGUCUGCAAUGUUUGAUGUUAUACGUUGAAUCAAGUCGUAUAAGAAUGAAUGGAUUCGAUGCUACCAGAUUAACGAAGCUAGAGAGAUUUGAAGGGAGAUUUACUGAGUUGAUAGACUUUAAUGCCUACACCAAGUCUAUACAAUGUCAACUGCUCACUUCUUACUUGCUUGUCAUGGCACCACUUGAAGCCAAGUUUAACGUGAAACAACGUAUAAAAGGCAUAAAUUGUGUUUACCGUUUCAAGUUGUUGAAUGUGGACAGCGACAAAGGGAGGCAGAAGGCGAUGAUGCUCGCAAGCGGGCUCCAAGGUACGGAUGCAAUUAAAUCCAUAAAAAUUCAAUAGAGUAGGGACCAUUUAGAAGGCCGAUUAAGGCCAGUGCGGGUAAGUUGGUAGUCCCAACUGUGUUGAAUGUCAUCGUGUGGCGCUGUGGAGACUGUAUCUCCACCCUGCUGCAUACCCAUGUUUUCUGACUGGACCCUUAAAGGUCCAGUGCCACUCACCGCACUCCCCUUCCCAUUAUAUCUCCUAAAGCUUUAUUAUAAUAAUAAUAAUAAUAAUAAUAAUAAUAAUAAUUAUUAUUAUUAUUAUUAUUAUUAUUAUUAUUAUUAUUAUUAUUGUUGUUGUUGUUGGACAAACCUUUAUUUCUCCCCCCAUCUUCUUGUUGUUUGUUGGUUUUUUCCCUUUUAUUUAUUCAAGGCUUUUAGUUAAUUAUUUAGUUAUAAAUGAAUUUAUAAAAUUAUCAUAGUAAAGGUUUAGAGUAAAUACUUUACACAUAUAAUUAAUUACACAAAAUAGCUUUAUAAUUAAUUAAUUACAAAUAAGAGUAAAGAGCCAGAACAUUGUAAAUUCUAAAAUAAAAGCAUAAGAAUAAUAUAUAUAAAUAUAUAAAUAAAUCAAGAAAUAAUCGAAUAAAUUGCCAUUAAUAUAUAAUCAUUUUUAAUAUAAAAUAAUGUGUCAACGAUUAAAAUUUUUAAGAUUUUAAAUGUUAAAUAAUGUUAUUAGGGAAAAAAAAGGUUAAAUAAUAUUAAAAUACAUAUAAAAACAACAAAAAAUUUAUUUUUUAAGUAUUAAUUAAUGUGAAUAUGUUAUUAUCAAUUCUUUUUAAAUAAUAUUAAAAUACAUAUAAAAACAAACAAAUUUUAUUUUUUUAAGUAUUAAUUUAUGUGAAUAUGUUAUUAUCAAUUCUUUUUUUUUAUUAAUUUCCCAUUACUUAUAGCAAAACUACUAUUUGGCAUAAAAAUAUUUUAAUAAAAUUUAUUUAUGACAUAAAUGUCAAAUUAUUUAAAAAUUAUGUUACACUCAAACUUUAGUUUGGCAUUUGUAUUUGUUUUGUUAAUAUAAUUUACUCACUGCCAUUUGUUUUUAUUAUCUAAUCACUUCGUAUUAUCCAUUUUGGUUCUACUGUGUUAUAGUUACUUGUACGUAGAGCAAUUAAAUUCUCUUUUACAAACCUUUUGAAUAUCACUUAAACCAAUUAUUUAAAUUCUAAAAUAAUCGUAUAUGACUCUACCGAGUGUAUUUUAUAAAGUUAUACUAAAUAUUAUAUUAUUUAAAUUUAAAAAAAUUAUAAAAUUAUGCUAAAAAUUAUAUUGUAAAAAAUAAUUUAUAUGUUACAAAAAGUCUUACAAUCUUUUUUUUUUUUAGUUAUGAAAAAAAAUUAUAUAAUUUGUAAGAAAUGUUAUGAAAGUUAUUGAACACUAUAUAAUUUUUUUAUAAAUAUUUUAUAUUAUUUUUUACCUGAUUUAUUUAUUAUAAAAAUAGUUAUAGCAUAAGUUUUUAUCCAAAUUAAGUUUAAGUUUUUAUAAUCAAAACUAAAUUAUAAAGUUUGUAAUAAUAAUGAUUUACUCAUUUAUUUCAACAUCAUAUAUUUACAAAUUAUGUAGUUUUCAUUCUUUAAAGGUUUAUUUAAAUUGUUAUUUAUUUAAACACUUAAAUUUUACAUUCCAACCAAAUAAAAUAAUCUUAUAUUCACCCACAAUUCUAUUAUUCCACAAACUAACUACACCUUUAAAUUUUUAUUUAUUUAUGCUCCUGUGCUUUAAUACGGUAUGGUGGCUAAUGUAGUACCCCCCCCCCCAAAAAAAAAUACAAUUGGCAAUAGUAACACUAAUGAUUAAUUAUAUUAGAAAUUGAGUUUGAUAAGUACUAUCAUUCUUGAUUGGUGAAGGUGCGGAAUCUGUUUCCUUGAUCUCUAAAGAUAGGACGAUUCUGGAAGUGUCUGGUGACUCAGAAAUGGGACCCACUAAAAUUGCGGCAAAUUGGAAGAAACGAGGUAUAGAAGUGCAGCUCGUGGAUGAGCGGUGGGACCCUACCUCUCUUCCUAUGAAAUACGUGAUAUUAAGCGGGUGUCCGAUAGGACGAGAAGAUCCAGCAGAGCUCCCAAGUGACGUUAGGACUCUGAAAAUUUUUGGGUGCCACAAUAUCAGAAGCUUAAGUGAUAUGCCCUUCUUUCAGCAAACAAAUGAGUUGGGGUUCUGUUCGAUUCACGAUUGUAGAGGGAUAGAAUCUGUGCUUGAUCUGUCGUCACCAUCCCAAUCAUGCACCCCAUUUGAGAACCUUGACCUCUUGUGGCUUGAAAAUUUAGAGAACCUUCAUGUGCUUGUUAAACUAGCAGAAGCAUCCGUUGUUUCUACAUUGAGUUCGCAGUCUAUUCCAGCCAUCUUUUCCCAUCUUAAAUCAUUUUAUAUUGAAGGAUGCUCAAACAUGAAGCA
rnacentral:lncRNA from 1 species